rnacentral:lncRNA from 1 species
AGAGGACACACUCAGCCAGAGGCAGGCCCUCAUUCCAAUUAAUGGACUUCUUGGAGGAGAGCAUAAGUAAUUGGUUUUGAGGUUGUUUCCACUGCCUUUGAAGGACAAUUGAAGUGCUCAUCAAGAUGUGCCAAAUGUUUAUAGAGUGCCUCUUUGGAUGAGUAUCUGUUUUAAAUAAGUGAAUUUAAAGGGGCCUGUAACUCACUUAAAUUACACCAAGAUGGGAGACUGGAGACAGGAUAUAGCUUCCAGUUGAAAUUCCUUGAUCUCUGGUUUAGUCUUAAUUUUAUAGAUAACAAGAGCCAUCAUUUGAAGAACUUUAACCAGUUGUGCUCAAAUGGUAUUCAGAUGGGACACAAGCUGCAGGCUGUACCCAAGCUUGUUGGUUCAGAUUUAUUUUCUUCUUAAUGCAAAGGCUUGAUGUUUGUUGGUCCAAAGAGCACAUAUGGCUUAUGGCUUGAAAAAUGUCUUGUGCUUCUCUCUGACCAGAACAAAAGUAGGGCUAAGAGAAUGCAGUGCCCUUAUCACUGGCACCUGGGCACCACGGUGCUGUCUGUUAAGUCUAGAGAAAUCAGCUGUUGAAUUUUGGUGAGACAACCCCCCUUUCUUCCUUCUAGGGGAAGCCCAACUCAUACUUUCCUGAGACUGGGCUCUCAAUCCAGGUUAAGGCACUAGAUUUAAAGCUCCAAUGAAGUACCCACUUGGCUGAGGUGCUGAGAGGAGGCUGGGUGACUGUGAGAGAUACCAAGAGGACUUCAUUAUGGAAGGUCCCUGCUGGAAGGCCAGGUGUUAUAUAUAUUUCCAUGGUAUAUACAUGAGAAUGUUACCAUUUGUGAGACAUCUCUGCAAAAAUCAAGAGGUUCGUUCGUUUUUGGUAAUUAACAGAGGAGUUAAUGUGGCUGAGACAAGAUUUUUUAAAAAAGGAAAUCUGCUUUACAUCUCAUGGGUAAGCCUUAAAACAAAUCAAUCAUUUCUGAAUUGACUACUUAUGCUUUAUUCUGCAAGUACUGAUGAACAGGAAGUUAGACAUUGUCAUUUUCUUUCAUAGCAUUUUGGGACAUUUAUGAUCAACCUGUGAGAUCUUUCAGAGAACACUCUAAAUCAAUUGCCAUGUAGUCAUUGUCUGACUUUGGAUCGAUUAUUUAAUAUGUUGACUUUUAAUAUUCUUUUCCUUUUGGAAGAAUGAAUGGUAAUGCCUACUGAAGAAGAUUGUGAAUAAAAUUCAAGGUAGAUAGCAUCUACAUAGAAGGCCCUAAAUAUAGUUGUCAUUGUCUGUGUUGAUUGUGUACAAUGAUGGUAUAUCCUUUGCAGUUAUCAACAUCUUUGGCAAAAUUUUAAAUUCAAAGGCAACAAAGUUCACAGGUAUUGUUAUAUAAGAUUUCUAUUCAGAUUAGUAGCACAUUAGUGUCUUAGGUUGGGUUCACUAGACACAGAGCCUGAGAUAGGGACUUGGCUGCUCUUCAAGAAAAACCUAUAAGGUAAUAAGAGAAAUAGGAUCAGGAAGAGGAAGGAGCCAAGAAAGAGUGUUGUUUCAGAUAAAGUCUAGACUUCUAGCUUGAUGCUGAGGGCAAGGGUGAGGUCCCUAAGCAGGGGGAGUUGUGGAAUAUAAAUCCUACCACGGGGUGAUCUGAGGCAGCAGUUCAGGCUUUCCUUCUAUAUGGAACCAUUUUAGGACACUAAAAAUUUUGUGGGAAGUUUGUGGAAGCAUCAAAAAUAGCAAUUUGCUGUGAUAAGUGUGCCCUAUAACUUUCAAAUGGCUAUGUGAUAGAUUCCCUUUAGCCACCUCUUAGUGAUGAUUCAACCAAAAAAGCCCCACAAUAAAUAACAAAACAUUUCUCUGUUCAUUAAUUUAAUUACUGUUUCUUAAACAUCUGUUAGGUGCUCAGAACUAUCCUAGGCACUAAAAUCAUGGCAAAACAAUAAGAAGUACCAGUGGAUAUUUUUUAACUACUUAAAAAAUAACCACUUGAAAACAAAAUAGAAACUAUCAUUUUCUACAGGCUUUUCUAUCAAAAUAAACUAAGCUGCUAAAUAAAAUCCGGUGUUUAAACUAUAUUUUUAAAAAGGGAUGGCA